rnacentral:lncRNA from 1 species
CAACUAAGGAAGAAGACAGCAAAUCAAAGAUUCAACUGCAAUAUAAACACGAGAAGAAAAUAGCAAAUAUUUGCCAAAGGAUAGCAAAGUAUUCGAUUGUUCCCUUUACCAACCCCAACUGAAGCUUUCAACAACCCCUCCAAAUCAAACACCCUAUAUUGUGAUCAGGUAACUUUAUUUUCAAUUUCUUUCUAUAAUUUGCUUUGCUAUUUUUCAAUUUCAAGUUAUCAUGUUUGUGUUUCAGAUUUGAAAAUGGGAACUAAUUUUGAAAUCAUAUUUGUUUUCGAAGUUUUGCGAUUGUUGUGUUGUAAGUGAUAGUGAAUGAAGGUGGUGAUGGUGACAAAAGGCAAUAGCGAAGGUGGCAGCUAAUGGUGGCGGUGGCAUGAAAGUUCGAUUGGGAUGAUAAUCAACUUUAAAGUUGAACACAAAAGGCUCAAAGGCGAGCACUGUUGCUGGUUCCUCUCCAUUGUUUUUUGAGGUUUUGCCAUUUUUUCUCUUCGAAUGCUCGAGGGAGUUGUUGGUUUUGAGGCCAUGUUGGGGCAGGAGGCUGAGACGACUGUCAACAGUUGGGUAAGGGUGGUUUCAGUUUUGAGUGAGGGGGCUGGCUGAAGGAGAUGAGGGUGGGUUGGUGUGGUUUUGUUUUUUCUUUAUUAAGC